rnacentral:rRNA from 1 species
UGGGGAAUUUUGGACAAUGGGGGAAACCCUGAUCCAGCCAUCCCGCGUGUGCGAUGAAGGCCUUCGGGUUGUAAAGCACUUUUGGCAGGAAAGAAACGUCAUGGGUUAAUACCCCGUGAAACUGACGGUACCUGCAGAAUAAGCACCGGCUAACUACGUGCCAGCAGCCGCGGUAAUACGUAGGGUGCAAGCGUUAAUCGGAAUUACUGGGCGUAAAGCGCGCGCAGGCGGUUCGGAAAGAAAGAUGUGAAAUCCCAGAGCUCAACUUUGGAACUGCAUUUUUAACUACCGGGCUAGAGUGUGUCAGAGGGAGGUGGAAUUCCGCGUGUAGCAGUGAAAUGCGUAGAUAUGCGGAGGAACACCGAUGGCGAAGGCAGCCUCCUGGGAUAACACUGACGCUCAUGCACGAAAGCGUGGGGAGCAAACAGG